AAUAUGAUGAAAUUGUUUCUCCGUUUUAUCUUUUGGUUUCUGUUUUCAAAAUGCGUUCCAUUUUCCGCUUCUGUUCGGUUAAACUGAACCAGUUGAAAAGCAUAAUUAGCAUUUAAAUCUGUCUUUUACAGGAACAACCAUCUCUCUCACACUCUCUCUCUCUCUCUAAUACUCUUUCUCUCAAGCUAUCUCUAUCAUGCUCUCUCUCUUUCUUGUUUAUGUUCUUUCUCUCUCACUUAUGCCCUCUCUCUCUCUCUCUCUCUCUCUCUCACUCACUCUCUCUCUCCAUGUCUCUGUCGCUAAGGCAACCAAUGCUUUUUCUCACUCUGACACACUCUGGCUCUCUCCCACUCCCUCCUUCAGCAGCGAGCGCUGCAGCGUCGUUCCCCCCUACAGCCAUCUGUUUACGAUCUUUCAGUAAGUGUCAGGAGCCAAGCGCUCCCCCUCUCCUCGUCUCCCUCUUUCAAGAGAUGAUCAGAGGAGCGAACAACCAGUGAAAAGAGAAGCGAUGGAGCGAUGCUCCGUCUCUGGACUCACUGCUCUCUUGCGCCUCCUGCUGGUUGCCGUCAUCAUUUGUCCCCCUCAUUGCCGUGCGGGCGACGAGCCUGUCGACAUGCAGCUGUCCGCUACACCCCAGGCCACACCCACUCCGCUCUGGGCAGUCGACUGGGGUCCCACGCAGCCGCUGGAGGACGAGACGCAUCACUUCCUGUCCAGUCAGGAAGUCGAGGGCGUGAAGCAGGCCACACCCGAGGUGUGGCCGCGUCGCAGGAACGCCCAAGCCAACCAAACCCAACAGCAGCCGCUGUCCAUCGAAGCCAAGGACUCGGCAGAGGAGCAGGAACGAGACGCAGAGGAAAGAGAGAUUGAAGAAGUGGAUCCUCAGUUUUACGUCACCGUGACUAUCUCAUCUCUCCUGAUUCUCUCUGCGCUCAUCAUAUCGGCCAAACUCUGUUAUGACCGCAGCCUGUCUCAGCGUCCUCCCCCUCUUUCCCUCGCCAUCCCUCGUUCCCUGGCCCCAGAGGAUAGCAGGCACACACUUCAGAGCACCCCCUCGUUCCCUGACAGAGAAAGACUUCCUGUGGUCAAUCUUUGAAGAACUGACUGUACCAAGCUUUCUAAUCACAUCCUCUGGGCAUGGAAUGUGAAAAAAACAAGGGUAACUAUGAGAACAAACAUAGAACAUGCGGAACUGCAUGAAGACGGAUACAUGAAAGAGAAUAUGUGGGGAUGGACGAGGCUCUGAGGAUUGGGGCUGUAUAUAUAUAUAUAUAUAUAUAUUGGCACAUUUUCUGGACGGAUGUACAGACAUGGAACGGAGGCCGUACAUUCUUUCAAGCCAGAGAUUCAGGCUCUCUUCUUCAGCCAUUUUGAAACAUUCCGUUUGUUUUUUUUUUCCCCCGUCGUCGUUUGAAUCGUUUCUUUCGCCGUCGCACAUAUAGUAUUCCUUCUCUGUACUUAUUGCAGCCAUUCCUGAAAGCUUAAUGAAUUCUACCUGCUUGCUGAGCUGUACCGUCGUCUUUAUUAUCGGUUUAUGAUCCGGUUUAUUACUCGCCCCGUUUAUAGUGAUCGCUCUCUCGCCCAGACCCCUCCCUCCCUCCCUCCCUCCCUCCCUCCCGCCUGCUGUAGCAUUUACUAAGGUUCAAGGAACGGCUGCAUUUCGUGCCAAGUGUGUUAAAUGUAGCCUCUUUUCUACGCCUCUGUAUUUCGACUGUUCGGUUUUAUAUAGCUCGCACUCUUUUCGCGACAGCGACGUGAUGAUGUUUACAAGCAUAGAGCCCAUCGACCUCACGCUAGAAAGCUCUACAGGACACGCCUGUGAUGUGUUUCUCGUUAAUGUUUACAGAACCGUGGAUGCACAUUGGUGAAUGUAUUAUGACGACUUUAUCUAGUGGCCGACGCCGCCCUCGGCGUCUCGGAGAAACACGGAAUAGCGGUCCGAGACUGAACCGACGGCCAUGUGCCGGACGCUUUGUCCAAGUCGCGUGAAGGUUUUCGAAUGGCCAGUGUUCAUAUUCAGAGCCGCUCUUAGCGAGGGAUUUUGACAUUUUAAAAGCCAUGAGCACACUGUACGGUUUUAGUAACGUCGUCGUGUGGUGAAACUCCGUAGUGCAUGAUUAGAUCGCCCAUCCUCACGGCGUGAUCGAAAUGCCGUGACGGUAACCGAGACACAGGCGCCGUGGAUAAAAACCCGAUCGAAUUGCUCGGUGCGAACGCAUAGUGCAUGCUGCUCAGCUGUAAUGUACAGAAAACACACUUAGCUACAGCCGUUAAAACACCAGCGAUCACUUGACAAUGUUCUUCACUAUUACUGAGACACCUUCCAGAUGUUUCGUGAGACUUCUUACACUGCAAGACAAAUGACCAUGUCACAUAAUCCUGCAACCAUAGAACAGCUCAGACAUUCUUUUAGGGCAGUUAAUCAGGCGUUCGCGUACCCCGGCGCUCAAAAGAGCUCAGAUAUUUGCUGUAGCGGCAAAGAGGAAGGACGUCAAGGGCUGAAAGCGUUGCAGAAGACAGUGGUUACGAUAAGAAAUCCAUUCCCAGACCCCGAAGAGGAGUCUUGCAUGGUCCUGCUGGCAUUUUUGUUGAGAACUCGGUUUAAAAAAAACAAACAAAAAAAUUAACGUACGUUAUUCGUCCGACAGAACCCUUUCACACAUCACUCGUCUGACAUCACUAGUAGAAACCGUGACUCGGUUCCACACGGCUGACGUUUUCACUGUUUAUCUGCUGCUCGAACUGUUUGAACGAGUCUGAGCCAAGGACUGGGGCAGGAGUGCAAAGCACACGACGGCGAUUUCAAUCUCUGACCAAUUAUCAUUCCUGUUAACGUUAUUCGUAAAGACUUUCUGACACUUCACCGUAGGCCUAUUCCGGUCGAAUCCAAUAAGUGUAGAUAUAGAGCUGGCACCGAUACCACUUCCGGUACUGAUACUGAUGGCGUGAGCUUGAUACCCGCCUGAUAUUCCUAUCCUAUCUGAAGCACUUUAUUAGGAACACCUGUACACCUACACGUUCAUGCAAUUCUCUAAUCGGCCAAUCGUGUUGCAGCGGUACGACGCGAACAUGUGAUCUCGGUGAUUCUGACCGUUGGUACCAGACGGGCUGGUUUGAGUAUUUCUAUAACUGCUGAUCUCCUGGGAUUUCCACUCGGAGCAGUCUGCUUAGAACGGUGCAAUAAAGGGAAAUGAGAGAGAGGUGGACAGAAAAUGUCCAGACUGGUUCAAGUAACAGAUACAGUACAGUAUAACCACUGUGUACAAUCGCGGUGAGCAGAAAAGCAGCUCGGAAUGCACAACACGUCGAACCUCGAGGCGCACGGGCUACGACGGGUUCCACUUCUGUCAGCCAAGAACAGAAAGCUGAGGACGCACCGGGCACAGGCUCACCGAAACUGGACAAACGUAGCCUGGUCUGAUGAAUCUGGAUUUCUGAUGAGGCGCACACCGGUGGUAAGGUCAGAAUUUGGCACCAGCAACAUGAAUCCACGGAAGUGCGUCGCGUCAACAGUCCAGACUGGUGGAGGUGGUGUGGGAAAUGUUUUCUUGGCACACUUUGGGAGCGUCGAUACCAAGCAAUCGUCGCUUCAACGCCACGGCCUAUUUGAGAAUUGCAAAAGCAAAAGUCAGUGUGCGAACACUGUUUUCCUGAAUUUCGAGUUCAGUGUACUUUAAUGGCCUGCGCAGUCACUGGAUCGGAAUCCACUAGAACAGCACUUUAACAUGAAAGUGCGUCUGAAAAAUCUGCAGCAACCGCGUGAUGCCAUCACGUCAGAAUCUCACACGAGUGUUUCUAACAUCUUGUGCAAUCUAUGCCACGAAGAUCUGAGGCUGUUCCGAGACCCUACCCAGUAUUAGUACAGUGUUCCUAAUAAAGUGUCCGGUGAGUGUAUAUUUUAAAGUAUAAAAUUGCUGAAAGGAAAAAUGAGUUUCUUUACACGUCGGGGUCCGAAAGUCUGAGACCACAUUGAAAAUCUGGGUUGUUUUGUUUUUCAUUUAAAAAUGGAUUUUAGAACGUUCAAUAUCGUGAAUAUAUAAUAUUCAGGGUCAUGCACUAUUUCUACGUCCGUAUUUAAACGGAAGCGAAUUAGUGAUAUCGACCGUGCUAACUGCUUUGUAAAAAAAAAAAAGAGGUCAGAUUUCCCUCAUGUCUAAUCUCUUCGGUCGGAGCACGCGUUCAGACGACACGCCGAUCUCAAACGGGUCGAUGGUUUUGCGCAUAAAGGGGACGCACCAAGUACUAAUAAACUCUAAUGGAUACUAAUACUAAUAAAGUUGUUGCCGAUAAUAUAAUUUCUGAUAAAUUGUUGUAUUAAGUUAGUAGCACUUUCACUAGUGCUCACAGACUUUUGGACCUGCUCCAGUCUUUUGCCGUUUAGUAAAGGAUCUGAUAUCCAGUGCUUUUGCUUUAAACUUAACGCCGACUCUACGCAUCAGAUCGGUGCCACCGCUAUAGUUACCUGAUGUUAAAUUUAUACCUGUCUAACGUCAGGCGAGCUGAACAUACGUCGAUAGAUUUUAUUUUAUAUUAAUGAGUUCUCCAUUUACGUUGACAGAAAGACAGGCACUCUGUCUCAGAACACCACUAACGUGAGACUGGAGGAAGGAAGGGGGCGGGGCUUACAGGGGAUCGGUUAGCACAACUGUCAAUCAUUCCAGCUUCAUACGUUAACUGGCUCUUGUGCCGUUUUUAUCGCGGGAAGGUUUUUCAAAUAAAUAAAUAAAUAAAUAAAGAGUACUCGGUGUAUUUCGUUGUGAUAUCUCGUAGCAGUGUAUUCCGAUGUUAAGAAGACGCAGAGCAUAGCGACGCAAAAAAGGUCGUCAGGCCUGCCUUCCUCAUCUCUGCGUCUCAUCUUUUGAACUGCCAUGUCCUUCGCGCUUACUUGAGAAGACGAGCAUCGCGCUUAUCGAGACCAACUCCCCAGCAUAAUUUCAUCCACGUCCUGCUCAAACCCACCUAGUUUAGCUAUCAGCUGAUAAGUUAUAUGAGAGAAACAGGAGAUAGUAAACCGAACAGAGAACAGAUGUACAAGGCAAACAUAUUUUUGAGAAACAAAUGUUCUGGUCUUUGCCUUGCAGAUAGAGACUGGAAUUUAUUCUUAUGGUGGUGUUUUGUUUUUGUUUUGUUUUUUCUCCUCAUCUGGGACAAGUUCUAUAUACGUGUUAAAAUGUGUUUAAAAAAACAACAAAAAAAAAACGUCAGCGGUUUAAAGCACUCCGGGUAAGAAACCCGGUCUUACGAACUCAAAGUUCAACUCCAGAUACAAGCUGUGAUUUAUUCAUUGAAUUUUUUUGGUGAUGUAGUUUUAUAUGACGUAGCACUGCCUUAAGUACUGUGUGUGGUUAACUGUAUAAGAAAAGACCAAUAAAAAUCCAUUUAUGGUGUUUGGAAAGUUGUGAAUAUGGAUUUCGUGUAUUGAUUGCGAAGAGAAAUUUGGAAGUAGUAGUGCAGUGCGCAUGGAAACGG
ensembl:lncRNA